rnacentral:rRNA from 1 species
GGGUAGCUUGCUACCUGACCUAGCGGCGGACGGGUGAGUAAUGCUUAGGAAUCUGCCUAUUAGUGGGGGACAACAUUCCGAAAGGAAUGCUAAUACCGCAUACGCCCUACGGGGGAAAGCAGGGGAUCUUCGGACCUUGCGCUAAUAGAUGAGCCUAAGUCAGAUUAACUAGUUGGUGGGGUAAAGGCCUACCAAGGCGACGAUCUGUAGCGGGUCUGAGAGGAUGAUCCGCCACACUGGGACUGAGACACGGCCCAGACUCCUACGGGAGGCAGCAGUGGGGAAUAUUGGACAAUGGGCGAAAGCCUGAUCCAGCCAUGCCGCGUGUGUGAAGAAGGCCUUUUGGUUGUAAAGCACUUUAAGCGAGGAGGAGGCUACCGAGAUUAAUACUCUUGGAUAGUGGACGUUACUCGCAGAAUAAGCACCGGCUAACUCUGUGCCAGCAGCCGCGGUAAUACUUAUCUUUGCGAGCGUUAAUCGGAUUUACUGGGUGUAUAUCGUGCGCAGGCGGCUUUUUAAGUCGGAUGUGAAAUCCCUGAGCUUAACUUAGGAAUUGC